rnacentral:rRNA from 1 species
CAGGGCUUGACAUCCUGCUAACGAGGUAGAGAUACGUCAGGUGCCCUUCGGGGAAAGCAGAGACAGGUGGUGCAUGGUUGUCGUCAGCUCGUGUCGUGGGAUGUUGGGUUAAGUCCCGCAACGAGCGCAACCCUUAUUGUUAGUUGCUACGCAAGAGCACUCUAGCGAGACUGCCGUUGACAAAACGGAGGAAGGUGGGGACGACGUCAAAUCAUCAUGCCCCUUAUGUCCUGGGCUACACACGUAAUACAAUGGCGGUCAACAGAGGGAUGCAAAACCGUGAGGUGGAGCGAACCCCUAAAAGCCGUCCCAGUUCAGAUCGCAGUCUGCAACCCGACUGCGUGAAGUCGGAAUCGCUAGUAAUCGCGGAUCAGCAUGCCGCGGUGAAUACGUUCCC